rnacentral:lncRNA from 13 species
CUGGAUGUUGAAACUGGACCCACUUCACUAAACUGGGUCACUGAAGCUGUGACUUCAGUACCAAAGGCAGUGGUCAUUCGAGAAUGUAAAUUUUAAUUAAAUAGAUAGUUAAGUUGUGUGCUCUGUUCAGAAUUGCAGCUUUCUGAAAAUGUUUUCAAAUUUCCUGUUUUUCAGGUUGGGAUAGGUAGUAGAUAGAAUAUAAUAAAAAUUUAAGAUGCAAAGAGACCAUAAAUUAGUAGUACGAAGGGUUAAAAAUUUCAUCUUGAUGCUUCUUUUCCUUUCCUUUAGUUGGAUGCACUUGAAUAUCAAAGGUUUGACAACAGCACAUCCUAAGAAAAUUUCUUCUGAUCUCCUAUGCAAUAAUAUCUGUUUAUCUUUCCGUCUACUGAGAGAAGCAGAAUUUGAAAUGGCAAACAUGCACACCAGGGAACAGAAAGAAGCUUCAAUCAAUAACUGGAAUCAAAACCACCAUGAAAAUCUGGAUCCAGAUGCUCUUCACUCUAUUGCUAUAGAAUAA